rnacentral:rRNA from 1 species
AUGGACAUCAAGUACCCUAAGGGCUUCGUCAAGAAGGUGAGGCAGGCGAUCGUGGCAUUGGCGGUGGAAGGGGUGAAGUACAAGGAGUGUAGUAGGAACCACGCGCUGGCUACCAGUGGGCAAGUCGUGGACGGCUGCGGGGAGUGGAUGCCGUUGGGGGACCUGAACCCCACCGAUGCAUCGUCAUACAAGUGGGCGGCUUGUGGCGGCCACUACAACUUGCACCACGAGAUGAUGAUGGAGAGGUCGCUGCUGCUACCGCCCAUGGCUGCAAUCAUCCAGAGGCUCCCCGCCCAGCUCUUGCCGGCGACGGCGCCACCGCCCCAUGUGGUUAUGUCGGCGAGGAAGUGGUCCUACACCAUGUUCACUACCUACCAGAAGAUGCGGAUGCAGGAGCUGUCGAAGCACCUAGGGUGGCGCCUGCAGAAGCGCGAUAAGGACAUCAUCAAAGCGAGGUGCCAUGACAUUGGCAUCAGUAAGGACGUCUUUAGGAACUGGAGGCACAACAAUAAGCGCAACUAA